rnacentral:rRNA from 1 species
GACGAACGCUGGCGGCGUGCCUAAUACAUGCAAGUUGAGCGCUGAAGGUUGGUACUUGUACCAACUUGAUGAGCAGCGCACGGGUGAGUAACGCGUGUGGCAUCUGCCUUUGAGCGGGGGACAACAUUUGGAAACGAAUGCUAAUACCGCAUAAAAACUUUAAACACAGGUUUUAUGUUUGAAUGUUGCAAUUGCAUCACUCACACAUGGUCCCUCGUUGUGUUGGCGAGUUGGUGAGGUAAAGGCUCACCAAGGCGAUGUUGCAUAGCCGCACUGAGAGGGUGGGCGGCCGGCUUGGGAGGGAGACCGGGCACAAUGGCCCACGGGAGGGGGCAGGAGGGAAUCGUCGGCCAUGGACGAAAGUCUGACCGAGCAACGCCGCGGGAGUGAAGAAGGUUUUCGGAUCGUAAAACUCGGUUGGUGGGGAAGAACGUGCGUGAGAGUGGAAAGCUCAUCAAGUGACGGUAACUACCCAGAAAGCGACGGCUAACUACGUG